CACUUGCGCAACUCGGUAACACCUGCUUAGGUACCCAUGUGGAGAAAGGGGCAGGCGGGGCUGCAGAUAUUUCAUGCAUUUAGCCACCUUUAGCCACCUUUCCGUUGAAUCCCGGUCUGUCCCAACCUGAAAGAACUGCCCAUGGGAGGGGCCAGAGAUGAAACAUCCACUGCAGAAUAAUACCCCCACACAUGGCUUGGGUGCUGUGGGAGAGAUAGCUUUCCCAGAGGUCCCGAGCAUGGUACUGAAACCUGCCAGAGGCAAGCAGAGGAAGCAGCAAGUGGCUGUACAGAAGACAGCGACUGACACUGGAAUGUGCUUUUUUGCAGUGUGGAAAUCUCCAAAAUGUGUCAUCUAAGGAGCCAUGCUGGAGCUGUGAUCAUCUGAAAUCCAAGGUGACAGCAACACAACAUCAUAAACAUGAUUAACAGCUGUAACAUCUGAUCACAGGUCACGAGGGCAGCAGGCUAAGCAGACGUCCUUCUCCCCAGCCCCAUCCUCCAGCUCCUCAUGGAGAUAGCAAUGCGUUCCCAGGCCAAAAAGGAUCUAUAACCCCUCCAGCUUGUUCUGGGUCUGCCCCGGGGAUUUUUUUCCCAGUUAGACAUGCCUCAAAUACCUCCAUAGGGAGAUUUCCAGGAGGCAUCUGCCUCAUCUGUCUCUUCUUAGCACAAAAGGAUCAUCGGUUCAAUUCAGAGCUCCCUCUGGAUGUCUGAGGGCCUCACCCUGUCCCUGAGGGUGAGCCCUAGACACCCUGCAAAGGAAACUUAUUUUUGGCUAUUUCAUGUUGGAACAUACAGUAUAUCAACCGCUAAAGCAAGAGUCUCACUUUUAGGCUCAGCUCCGUCUACCAAAAAUUAGUGAGGCUGCAGUUCACAGUCUGAUGAUUCAAGUAGGGCUUAAUCAGUGGCAAAAUGCACACAUCUACAUUUAAUGCAUAGGUUAUCAGAUUUAUUUUGGGACCUCUAGCCAUGGGCAUAGGAAGCAUUGUAAAUGUAGGUGGUACUUUUAUCUGGCUAUACUAUAUUAGAAAAAUAAUGGGUAGCCUACAUUUUGUAAUUUUACCCAGAUGGUUGGACCCAUAUCACAUAUUUGAAGAUAUUAAAAAGCUAAAAGUACAGAAAUUGAUCCGAUGACUAAUCUUUAAUAAUAACCACUUAUUCCACUUAUCAUUUAAACUUGAGGAUCUCUUUAUGCUUGCAUGCAAUUUCUGUUAAAUUAAUUUCUUUGUUAUCAAAUAAAAAAUGUAUGAGUAAAGUAGA